GAGCAGUUAGGUUCGCGCGAGAGAGGAAUAUUCAGUUUGCGAACGGUGCUCGUCACGAUCGUGCUGAAAUUCUUUAUUCGAAGUGCAACAAAUAAAAUUUUAUUUUUUUUCCCCCAAAAUCCACGUUUCGUAUAAACGGACGAGUACGCACACGCACACGCACAGUUUUUGUCAUUUUGUCAUUCAUUUUGCGUACUUUUUCUUUUCAUUUUUUUUUCCUCUCCCCUUUCCAAGUAAUACGACAACCUAUGUGAAACAUUUAAUCUUUUCUUUCUUCUACUACCCCCAUUAUUCUCUCUUUCUUUGUUUCUUUCAUUUUUAUUUUCUCAGACGCGUUCGAUUAUCCUUGGAUAUGUUCUGCUCGUGUUUUUUACCGUGGACGAGGUGAUAAAGACGAUUGUGUCCUUGAAUGAAAAUGGAAUACAACAGCGGUUAAGGGAUUCUAUCAUCAAGGAGUUUUCUCAGGGCCGCCCCAUAAAUGUCGCGUCGUUCGGUGAUUUGUUUUGACAUGUGUACAACAUAGAGGACUGCCAUAUUGGAUUACAAACGCAACGUUGUAUUAUUCGAAAUAGGGGAAAACAAGGAAAAUCUGACACGAUUUUCAAGCGUCUUCAAACGAAUUGAAGAGUUCAUACACCGAGGUUCGAUCAUGGAUCCUGUGGCGACAGUUGCGAGUUAUAGUUAAAAAGUCGGACGGUCGAUGUCUGAUGGCGCGAGCUGGAACCCAGCGCUGGAGAAAUCCUACUCCAGAAGGUGACGAUGUACAACGAUCGAUCGAACUGCUGGACAAAGUGCUCUCAGAGUACGACGAGCACGAGGCAGAAAGCGAAGUCUGCACCGGUGUUGGUGGUGGUGG